rnacentral:rRNA from 1 species
GAUGAACGCUGGCGGCGUGCCUAAUACAUGCAAGUCGAGCGAACGGACGAGAAGCUUGCUUUUCUGAUUUUAGCGGCGGACGGGUGAUUAACACGUGUAUAACCUACCUAUAAGACUGGGAUAACUUCGGGAAACCGGAUCUAAUACCGGAUAAUAUUUUGAACCGCAUUGUUCAAAAGUUAAAGACGGUCUUGCUGUCACUUAUAGAUGGAUCCGCGCUGCAUUAGCUAGUUGGUAAGGUAACGGCUUACCAAGGCAACGAUGCAUAGCCGACCUGAGAGGGUGAUCGGCCACACUGGAACUGAGAAACGGUCCAGACUCCUACGGGAGGCAGCAGUAGGGAAUCUUCCGCAAUGGGCGAAAGCCUGACGGAGCAAAGCCGCGUGAGUGAUGAAGGUCUUCGGAUCGUAAAACUCUGUUAUUAGGGAAGAACAUAUGUGUAAGUAACUGUGAACAUCUUGACGGUACCUAAUCAGAAAGCCACGGCUAACUACGUG